rnacentral:rRNA from 1 species
GGGUUUUAGCUAUCACUUACAGAUGGGCCCGCGGCGCAUUAGCUAGUUGGUGAGGUAACGGCUCACCAAGGCGACGAUGCGUAGCCGACCUGAGAGGGUGAUCGGCCACACUGGGACUGAGACACGGCCCAGACUCCUACGGGAGGCAGCAGUAGGGAAUCUUCCGCAAUGGACGAAAGUCUGACGGAGCAACGCCGCGUGAGCGAUGAAGGCCUUCGGGUCGUAAAGCUCUGUUGUUAGGGAAGAAUAAGUGCUAGUUAAAUAAGCUGGCACCUUGACGGUACCUAACCAGAAAGCCACGGCUAACUACGUGCCAGCAGCCGCGGUAAUACGUAGGUGGCAAGCGUUGUCCGGAAUUAUUGGGCGUAAAGCGCGCGCAGGCGGUUUCUUAAGUCUGAUGUGAAAGCCCCCGGCUCAACCGGGGAGGGUCAUUGGAAACUGGGAAACUUGAGUGCAGAAGAGGAAAGUGGAAUUCCAAGUGUAGCGGUGAAAUGCGUAGAGAUUUGGAGGAACACCAGUGGCGAAGGCGACUUUCUGGUCUGUAACUGACGCU